rnacentral:rRNA from 1 species
AGUGAACGCUGGCGGCAGGCCUAACACAUGCAAGUCGAGCGGCAGCGCGUCCGACCACCCUCGGGUGGUCGGAUGGCGGCGAGCGGCGGACGGGUGAGGAAUGCAUCGGAAUCUGCCUCGUUGUGGGGGAUAACGUAGGGAAACUUACGCUAAUACCGCAUACGACCUACGGGUGAAAGUGGGGGACCUUCGGGCCUCACGCGAUGAGAUGAGCCGAUGCCGGAUUAGCUAGUUGGCGGGGUAAAGGCCCACCAAGGCGACGAUCCGUAGCUGGUCUGAGAGGAUGAUCAGCCACACUGGAACUGAGACACGGUCCAGACUCCUACGGGAGGCAGCAGUGGGGAAUAUUGGACAAUGGGGGCAACCCUGAUCCAGCCAUGCCGCGUGUGAAGAAGGCCU